rnacentral:lncRNA from 10 species
UCAGAGCCUAGGCCCACCCACUCAUGGUGUAACCAUGGGUAUCCUGGCCACAUGCCAACGACAUGGUGUUUAUGUGGCUCCCGAUGAACCUUCCUUCUCCUGAGGGUGGGGGAGCCUGGCCCCUGGGCUUAGGGUACACCUCUCUCUGAACUAAAGAAACAUUUCCUGGCAGGGCACAGAGGCUCAUGCCUGUAAUUUCAGGACUUAGGGAUGCUGAGGGGGGGCAGAUUGCUUGAACCCAGGAAUCUGAGACUAGCCUGGCAAGAUGGCAAAAACCCAUCUCUACAAAAAAAUAAAUAGAAAAAUUAGCUGGGCAUGGUGGGGCACACCUGUAGUCCCAGCUACAUGGGAGGCUGGGGUGGGAGGAUCACUUGAGGCCAGGAGGUUAAGGCUUCAGUGAGGCAUUAUCACACCACUGUACUCCAGCUUGGAUGACAGAGAGAGAUCCUGUCUCAAAACAAACAAACAAAAAAAGUAAAAUGAGAAAGAAGAGAAAUUUUAUAUCAUGUGCUGGGGGGAAGGGGUUGUCCAAGCUGGGCACUGGGCACACAGAAGAUAAUUAUCAAUUUCUGCUUUUGGAUAGAGGCAAACAGACCCAGGCCCAGCCCAGGAGGCUUGGUGCUGAGUCUGCCCGCUAUCCAGGCCCCAGAUACAGAGUCAUGGGCAGCCCGGCUUGUCCUGCUGGACAUCAGGAGCGUCACGGCUGCCUCAUAUGGCCCGUUGGGUAACUGGGAAGAGGCUGACAGUUUGUGGUUGUUGAGUAACCACUGGGCUUCCUGAAACUUCUAGUUUCUUUCAGGACCACUCCCCAUCUUCCUCUUUCAGGGCCGGGCUGAGGGCUGGGGAGUAUUCGCAUGCCCACAUUCAUUUAUCCAUUCAUUCAACAGUCUCUGCUCACCACCUCCCCUGCUCCUGCCCUGGCCUGGGCUUGGGGGGACCCAGAGAGACGUCCAUAGGGUUCUGCCCUCCUGGAUUCUCUGGCUCAGACGAUGGCCCCAUCAUAUACUCCUGCAGCCAAGGCAGAAAUCCAGGCAUCAGCCCGGACUCUUCCCUCACGCCCCCUCGUGUGCCCCCUUCUGUUUUCCUGCAGUGCCCUGAUGUCCUCUGUUGCAUUGUUUAUCAUCUUUUAUUGUAAAGGCUCCAAUUGUCCAUUUCCCCAUCUAGAUGCAAUGAAGGCAGAGGCUGUGUCUAUCUUGUUCCCUGCUGUAUUCUGGGCACCUGGCACAGUGCCUGGCACUUAACAGGUGCUAAUUAAACACUGUUGAUUGAAUUACUUAGUCCCUUUGAUUCCAUUUGCUUGAUACUCAUUGAAUCCAUACCCUCCUGUCUCCCCCAGCCGCAGUCUUUGCUCAGAUAAUUCCACCUGGGCACUGGAGCAGUUUUCUGACUGGGCUGCUUAUCUUACCUCCACCAUUCAGUCUAUUUUCCACAUUAUAGCUGGAGUGGUCAUUCUAAAGUGCCCAUCUAUCCUACUCUGAAUCCUUCCCUGGCUUCCCAUUACUUACAGGAACAAGGACACUUUCCUGGGAUGAUAAAAAAAGGACAGCAGAUAUGACUGAUGAGACUAAUCUCCAUAUCCUGUGAAAAUGCUCAAGAAGAUAUGCAGAAAUCCAAAAGCUUGCAGUGAUGCUUUAGAAACUAAAGAUAAGAGAAGAUCACAGGGUAAAGUGCAAGGGAGAAAUUGCGCUAACCAGAUGGUAGAUGGGGCCAGAUUGAGAAACACAUUCUUAGACAACACACCACCUGCUACUCCCUUUGGAACAGAACAGCAUGUGUCAUCUGUGCCGUUAACUGACCAUGUCUUAUCCCCCACCUUUCAAGGCCUUUAAGGACAAAGACCAUAUCUAAUUUAUCUUGGUAUCUCUGGCACCCGGCACAGGACUUGACACAUAGUAGGCACUCAAUACAUAUUUAUUGAAUGAAUCAGAGGAUUAAAUGAAUUAAUGAAUGAAGAACCGAAGGUUCCAAAGUAGAUAAGAGAGACUAAUCCCCACUGCCUACACCAGUCUCAGAGACUCAGGGGCAGCAGUGACCAGAUGGAUGUUUGGUCAUGGCUUAACAACACAGAAAUUAUCUUCCAAGCCGGUCAGAAUGAUUGAGGGAAUGGAUUCUGGGAUCAGAUCAUGUAGGUAGUUAUGGUUCCACCAGAUUUUAGCUGUGUGAGCUUGGACAAGUUAUAUAACCUCUCUGUGCCUCACCUUGGUCAUCUGUAAAAUGGAAACAGUAAAAGUACUAUUUACAGGAAUGUUGUACUGUUUACAGUACUGUUUACAGAAAUGUUGUGAGAACUAAAUUAAUGUGUGUGCAUAAAUUUAGCACAUAUGUAUUUAGUGUAUAUAUAUAUACACAAAUGCACACACAUAAUACAUGAAUUUACAUACACAGAGUGCUGUUCAAGUGCCAUGAUAUGAUGAUGAAAAUUCCCCUAAUCGACCCCGGUCAGCUUCUUUUUCUGUGUCUACACUGGCUGUCCAAUGGUGGAACUGAGACUUCCACAAUUAUUGAGCUUUACUGCAUAAGGUUGAAAGGAUCAGGGGGCAGUCCUUAGCCUGGCUUUAUUUCCGCCUGAUCAAGAGAGAGUGAACAAAAACAAUCAAUAUGGAAUCUGUGAGAAGAUCUCACAGCACCGGCAGGAAGAAAAUUGUCCCGAAGGUUCAGAUGAAGAGUUUAUUAUCUCAGAAAUGAUUUUCUGUAAGAAAGAAUAAAACUCUAAAAGUCAUCUGUUUGGUAUUCUCAAAACAAACAAACAAUCCAGGAAGCUUUGAUUUAGUGGUUAUUUGCUGAGUACCUCCCAAGUGGGCAAAAGAUAUGAAUAGGCAGUUCAUCUAAAUGAAGAUGCAAAUGGCUUUCAAAUAUAUGAAAAGAUGGUUGGUCUCACUCAUAAGAGAAAUGCAAACCACAACUACAGUGAGCUAUGAUUUCUCACCUAUCAGACUGGCAAAAAUCCAAGAGUUCCAUAUGAAAGGUUAUGAGGCCAUAGGGAUUUUACUUUGAGGAAUUCGCCCCUCCUUCAUUUUCAGCCCUGUUGUUUAGCCGAGAUUUCCUCCACUCCAGCUCUGGGGUUGCCCUGCCUGGCUUAAGCUUGCUAAUUUCUCAUCAUCCAGAGAUCAUUAAAAAUUAUUAGGCUGGGCACGGUGGCUCAUGCCUGUAAUCCCAGCACUUUGGGAAGCUGAGGUGGGCAGAUCACCUGAGGUCAGAAGUUCGAGACUAGCCUGGCCAAUAUGGAGAAACGCCGUCUCUACUAAAAAUACAAAAACUAGCCGGGCGUGGUGGUGUGUGCCUGUAAUCCCAGCUGCUCGGUGGGCUGAGGCAGGACAAUCACUUGAACCCAGGAGGUGGAGGUUGCAGUGACCCGAGAUUGCGCCACUGCACUCCAGCCUGGGCAACAGAGCAAGACUCCGUCUCAAAAAAAAAAAAAUUAUUGGGCGACCUUGGGCAAACUACUUAAACAUGCUGAGCUUUAGUUUCCUCAUCUGUACAAUGCAGACAAAAGUAGAGAUCCAUUAAACACAGCCAGUACAGUGUAAAAAACAGCACCUUCUACUGACUUUGGUAAUUUGAUAAAUAUACAUUUAAGUAUAUGUGGUUGACUAAUCUAAAGAUUUAAAAAGGCCAGGUGCAGUGGCUCACGUCUGUAGUCCCAGGACCUUAGGAGGCUGAGGCAGGUGGAUAACUUGAGGCCAGGAGUUCGAGACCAGCCUGGCUAACAUGGUGAAAUCCCAUCUCUACUAAAAAUACAAAAAUCAGCUGUGUGUGGCAGCGUGUGCUGGUAAUCCCAGCUACUCGGGUGGCUGAGGCAUGAGAAUUACUUGAACCUGGGAGGUGGAGGCUGUAGUGAGCUGAGAUCCCACCAUUGCACUCCAGCCUGGGUGACAGAGCGAGAUCCUGUCUCAAAAGAAAAAAAGGUUUAAAGAAUUACAAACUUGAUCUUCACCUUCAAAAUCAUUAUAGAAGCUAAAAGCAAGAAAAGCCUAAAAAGUAUAGCAAAGAACAAAAAAUAAAGCAAUAAGGAAGCACAAAAAUGAAGCAAAAUGAGGCCACAUUAUUAUGAAAUAUAUAUAAACAAAUUAAGCUAAGUUAUUGAAGGCAAAUAUUUUUAUAUUCUCAUGUUUAAAAACAAAAGUCAACUACAUAAUAUGCUGCUUACAAGAAAUACUUAAAAUAAUACAGAAUAUCCAAAUACAUGUAUUAAAGAUAAACGUGAAAAAAGAGAAAAACAAGUAUUAAAAGAAUAUAUGGGGAAGAAAUGUUGGAGUAGAAAAACCUUUCUAAUUAUGACUCAAACUCCAGAAGCCAUAAAAGAAGAGAUUGGCCAGGUGCCAUGGCUCACAUCUGUAAUCCCAGCACUUUGGGAGGCUGAGGUAGGAGGAUCACUUGAGUACAGGAGUUUGAGACCAGCUUGGGCAACAUAGUGAGACCUUGUCUCUACAAAAAACAAAACAAAAUUAGCUAGGUGUGGUGGUGCACGCCUGUAGUCCCAGGUACUUAUGAGGCUGAGGAGAGAGGAUUGCUUGAGCCUGGGAGGUCAAGGCUGCAGUGAGCUGAGAAAAUGCCACUGCACUCC